rnacentral:rRNA from 1 species
CACCAGACUCCUACGGGAGGCAGCAGUGGGGAAUAUUGCACAAUGGGGGAAACCCUGAUGCAGCGACGCCGCGUGAGUGAAGAAGUAUUUCGGUAUGUAAAGCUCUAUCAGCAGGGAAGAAGAAAGACGGUACCUGACUAAGAAGCCCCGGCUAACUACGUGCCAGCAGCCGCGGUAAUACGUAGGGGGCAAGCGUUAUCCGGAUUUACUGGGUGUAAAGGGGGCGCAGACGGCAGCGCAAGUCAGGAGUGAAAGCCCGGGGCCCAACCCCGGGACUGCUCUUGGAACUGCGCGGCUGGAGUGCAGGAGGGGCAGGCGGAAUUCCUGGUGUAGCGGUGAAAUGCGUAGAUAUCAGGAGGAACACCGGUGGCGAAGGCGGCCUGCUGGACUGCGACUGACGUUGAGGCCCGAAAGCGUGGGGAGCAAACAGGAUUAGAUACCCGCGUA